rnacentral:rRNA from 1 species
AUUGAACGCUGGCGGCAUGCCUUACACAUGCAAGUCGAGCGGCAGCGCGGGGGCGAACCCUCGGCGGCGAGCGGCGGACGGGUGAGUAAUACAUCGGAACGUGUCCUUUCGUUGGGGGAGUAACCAGUCGAAAGACUGGCUAAUACCGCAUGAGAUCUCACGAUGAAAGCGGGGGCCGGCAAGGCCUCGCGCGAUUGGAGCGGCCGAUGUCGGAUUAGCUAG